rfam:Canis lupus familiaris chromosome 6, whole genome shotgun sequence.
GCCUGAGUGGCUCAGCGGUUGAGCAUCUGCCUUCAGCCCAGAACAUGAUCCUGGAGUCCUGGGAUCGAGUCCCACAUCGGGCU